AUUCCAGCUCCAAUAGCGUAUAUUAAAGUUGUUGCAGUUAAAAAGCUCGUAGUUGGAUUUUUGACAGGAGCGACCAUACCGGGCUUGAUUGUCCGUGUUUUGUGUUGUCUCCAGUCAUCCUCGUGGAGAGCGUUUCUGGCAUUAAUUUGUUGGAGGCGGGACCCGCGUCAUUUACUGUGAAAAAAUUAGAGUGUUUAAAGCAGGCAAUUGGCUUGAAUACAUUAGCAUGGAAUAAUAAGAUAGGACUUUGGUGCUAUUUUGUUGGUUUGCACAUCAAGGUAAUGAUUAACAGAAUCAGUCGGGGAUAUUCGUGUGCAAAUGUCAGAGGUGAAAUUCUUGGAUUUUUUACAGACGAACUACUGCGAAAGCAUUUAUCAAGGAUGUUUUCAUCA
rnacentral:rRNA from 1 species